rnacentral:rRNA from 1 species
GCCGCAUGGCUCAGUGGGAAAAACUCCGGUGGUAUGAGAUGGACCCGCGUCUGAUUAGGUAGUUGGUGGGGUAACGGCCUACCAAGCCAACGAUCAGUAGCCGACCUGAGAGGGUGACCGGCCACAUUGGGACUGAGACACGGCCCAAACUCCUACGGGAGGCAGCAGUGGGGAAUAUUGCACAAUGGGGGAAACCCUGAUGCAGCGACGCCGCGUGAGCGAAGAAGUAUUUCGGUAUGUAAAGCUCUAUCAGCAGGGAAGAAAAUGACGGUACCUGACUAAGAAGCACCGGCUAAAUACGUGCCAGCAGCCGCGGUAAUACGUAUGGUGCAAGCGUUAUCCGGAUUUACUGGGUGUAAAGGGGGCGUAGACGGCUGUGUAAGUCUGAAGUGAAAGCCCGGGGCUCAACCCCGGGACUGCUUUGGAAACUAUGCAGCUAGAGUGUCGGAGAGGUAAGUGGAAUUCCCAGUGUAGCGGUGAAAUGCGUAGAUAUUGGGAGGAACACCAGUGGCGAAGGCGGCUUACUGGACGAUGACUGACGUUGAGGCUCGAAAGCGUGGGGAGCAAACAGGAUUAGAUACCCUGGUAGUCCACGCCGUA